rnacentral:rRNA from 1 species
UACGAAGGGUGCAAGCGUUACUCGGAAUUACUGGGCGUAAAGCGUGCGUAGGUGGUUUGUUAAGUCUGUUGUGAAAGCCCCGGGCUCAACCUGGGAAUGGCAAUGGAUACUGGCAAGCUAGAGUGCGGUAGAGGGCAGUGGAAUUCCCGGUGUAGCAGUGAAAUGCGUAGAGAUCGGGAGGAACAUCUGCGGCGAAGGCGACUGCCUGGACCAGCACUGACACUGAGGCACGAAAGCGUGGGGAGCAAACAGG